rnacentral:rRNA from 1 species
GGCUCAGGACGAACGCUGGCGGCGUGCCUAAUACAUGCAAGUCGAGCGGACGAAUUUUUGGUGCUUGCACCAAACUUUCGUUAGCGGCGGACGGGUGAGUAACACGUGGGUAACCUACCCUAUAGUUUGGGAUAACUCCGGGAAACCGGGGCUAAUACCGAAUAAUACUUUUUAACACAUGUUUGGAAGUUGAAAGACGGUUUUGCUGUCGCUAUAAGAUGGACCCGCGGCGCAUUAGCUAGUUGGUGGAGUAAUGGCUCACCAAGGCAACGAUGCGUAGCCGACCUGAGAGGGUGAUCGGCCACACUGGGACUGAGACACGGCCCAGACUCCUACGGGAGGCAGCAGUAGGGAAUCUUCCACAAUGGACGAAAGUCUGAUGGAGCACGCCGCGUGAGUGAAGAAGGAUUUCGGUUCGUAAACUCUGUUGCAAGGGAAGAACAAGUAGCGUAUUACUGGCGCUACCUUGACGGUACUUGUUAGAAGCACGCUAACUACGUGCCACAGCGCGGUAUCCGUAGGUGGCAGCGUGUCGGA